rnacentral:rRNA from 1 species
GCAAAACGCGAAGAACCUUACCCGGGCUUGAAAUGCAUCUGACAGGGGCAGAGACGCCCUCUUCCUUCGGGACAGAUGUGUAGGUGCUGCAUGGUUGUCGUCAGCUCGUGCCGUGAGGUGUCGGCUUAAGUGCCAUAACGAGCGCAACCCUCAUCAUUAGUUACCAUCAGGUUAAGCUGGGGACUCUAAUGAGACUGCCAUCGUAAGAUGAGAGGAAGGUGGGGAUGACGUCAAAUCAGCACGGCCCUUACGUCCGGGGCGACACACGUGUUACAAUGGGUGGUACAAAGGGCAGCUACAUGGCGACAUGAUGCUAAUCUCCAAAACCAUUCUCAGUUCGGAUCGGAGUCUGCAACUCGACUCCGUGAAGCUGGAUUCGCUAGUAAUCGCGCAUCAGCCACGGCGCGGUGAAUACGUUCCCGGGUCUUGUACACACCG